rnacentral:rRNA from 1 species
UACGUAGGGGGCGAGCGUUGUCCGGAUUUAUUGGGCGUAAAGAGCUCGUAGGCGGCUUGGCAAGUCGGGUGUGAAACCUCCAGGCUCAACCUGGAGACGCCACUCGAUACUGCUAUGGCUGAGUGCCGGAGAGGGUCGCGGAAUUCCCGGUGUAGAGGUGAAAUUCGUAGAUAUCGGGAGGAACACCAGUGGCGAAGGCGGCGACCUGGACGGACACUGACGCUGAGACGCGAAGCG